rnacentral:rRNA from 1 species
AGUGAACGCUGGCGGUAGGCCUAACACAUGCAAGUCGAACGGCAGCACAGUAAGAGCUUGCUCUUACGGGUGGCGAGUGGCGGACGGGUGAGGAAUACAUCGGAAUCUACUUUUUCGUGGGGGAUAACGUAGGGAAACUUACGCUAAUACCGCAUACGACCUACGGGUGAAAGCAGGGGAUCUUCGGACCUUGCGCGAUUGAAUGAGCCGAUGUCGGAUUAGCUAGUUGGCGGGGUAAAGGCCCACCAAGGCGACGAUCCGUAGCUGGUCUGAGAGGAUGAUCAGCCACACUGGAACUGAGACACGGUCCAGACUCCUACGGGAGGCAGCAGUGGGGAAUAUUGGACAAUGGGCGAAAGCCUGAUCCAGCCAUACCGCGUGGGUGAAGAAGGCCUUCGGGUUGUAAAGCCCUUUUGUUGGGAAAGAAAGGCAGCAGGUGAAUACCCCGCUGUUCUGACGGUACCCAAAGAAUAAGCACCGGCUAACUUCGUG